rnacentral:rRNA from 1 species
AACGAACGCUGGCGGCAGGCUUAACACAUGCAAGUCGAACGCCCCGCAAGGGGAGUGGCAGACGGGUGAGUAACGCGUGGGGAUCUACCUAGUUCUACGGAACAACAGUUGGAAACGACUGCUAAUACCGUAUACGCCCUACGGGGGAAAGAUUUAUCGGAAUUAGAUGAGCCCGCGUAAGAUUAGCUAGUUGGUGGGGUAAUGGCCUACCAAGGCGACGAUCUUUAGCUGGUCUGAGAGGAUGAUCAGCCACACUGGGACGGAGACACGGCCCAGACUCCUACGGGAGGCAGCAGUGGGGAAUAUUGGACAAUGGGCGCAAGCCUGAUCCAGCCAUGCCGCGUGAGUGAUGAAGGCCUUAGGGUUGUAAAGCUCUUUCACCGAUGAAGAUAAUGACGGUAGUCGGAGAAGAGGCCCCGGCUAACUUCGUGCCAGCAGCCGCGGUAAUAC